rnacentral:lncRNA from 1 species
GGACCGUAACAAAAGAGGCAGGGGAGCAGACACAACACGUGGAGAACAUAUAGUCCACCGUGCGCAAACAAGCAUGGAAGAGGUAUCGGAGAGCUAUACAUACCAGUGGUACGACUUUAGAUUCCUCCUAUCUGCAUAUUUAUUUUUACUUUUUCUACAUAUAUUUAUUUUAAAAAUAACGCCGGUGAAUAAAACAUUUUUUUACCUUUUUAAUAAGCAUGGGGCUGAAGCUUAUUUGAUACAGCACUGUUUAUGCAUACGUCCUCGCAUCUCCUUGUAUGUAGUUUUGUACAUGUGUUUAUUGUAAUAAAAAGAUUACACGCUGUGGCCAUACUAGAGAGGUACGGUGUUCAAUACCUCGCAUCUCAUUUUGUUUCUCUUUUCUACAUGUGCUUAUUAUAUUAAAAAAUUACAGGGCGUCGUUAACAAAUAAAAUAGAAAUUUACCUUGUCAAUAUGCAAGGGGAUGUAGCUCAUUUGGUAGAGCGCCGCUAAUACGCACGACAGAGGUACGGGGUUUGAGUCUCGCAUCUUCAUAGAUGUAUUUAUUUUUUCUCUUCUGCACAUGUUUAUAUAUAAAAAUGUAACGGG